rnacentral:rRNA from 1 species
AUUGAACGCUGGCGGCAGGCCUAACACAUGCAAGUCGAACGAGUGGCGGACGGGUGUGUAAUGUCUGGGAAACUGCCCGAUGGAGGGGGAUAACUACUGGAAACGGUAGCUAAUACCGCAUACCAUCGGAUGUGCCCAGAUGGGAUUAGCUAGUAGGUGGGGUAACGGCUCACCGAGGCGACGCUCCCUAGCUGGUCUGAGAGGAUGAACAGCCACACUGGGACGGAGACACGGUCCAGACUCCUACGGGAGGCAGCAGUGGGGAAGAUUGCACAAUGGGCUCAAACCUGAUGCAGCCAGGCCGCGUGUAUGAAGAAGGCCUUCGGGUUGUAAAGUACUUUCGGCGAGGAGGCGUUACUGGCAGAAGAAGCACCGGCUAACUCCGUGCCAGCCGCCGCGGUAAUAC